rnacentral:lncRNA from 1 species
AGACCGCUGGAGCAGGAGGACUCGAUAAUCCUCAAAAUGUAAAAGCAGCUAUGAGUCGUCAAAAGUCAAAAGAAAGGGCUCAACAAGUAUGCAUUCAUAUGUGUUCUUUUGGCCUUGGUUAACUCAAUUCCAUUGGGUUACGGUGAGUCUUCAUUCAACACCCUUUUCCCGUUUGCUUUUAAUUUUUACUCUAAAUGUUAAUAUAUAAAUAUUUGGCAUGUAAUUGUAAUCGGAUGGUGGUAUGGUGACGUGAAAUGAAGCUUUUGGGGUGUAGACAUUUGAGUAAUGAGUGGUGCAGUUCUUUUCACAAAAGAAGAUCUUGACAUAACGGUAGUCCAAGUAGAGGUUUUGACAAAUUCUUGC